GAGGAAUCAUGUUUGCCUCUUCGUUUUCAGGUUCUAUCUCCAUGUUUAAGAAAUCGUCCUGCACAGAAGCAUCAUCGUCAAACAUAGUAGAUAAACCAGAAAAAUUCUCACCUGAAUGCAAAGUGAUGGCGCUCAAAUGCUCCUCGGAUUCAGUAGCAUUUGAUGGAGUUCCCAAUUGCUCUUCAGCUACUAACUUGAAGAUUAAGCCUACUUGAUGCUCUAUGUUGUUAAUCGAGGCUUGUUGAUCUUCAAGUAUCCUCU
rnacentral:lncRNA from 1 species